rnacentral:tRNA from 1 species
GGACCGUUAGGGUAGUCUGGAUAUCCUUCCGGCCUUCGGAGCCGGGGGACGUGGGUUCGAAUCCUGCACGGUCCGCCA